CACUUGUCUUUNAAAUGAAGACCNGUAUGAAUNGNAUNACGAGGGCCUAGCUGUCUCCUUUUUCCAGUCAAUGAAAUUAAUCUCCCCGUGCAGAAGCGGGGAUAAAGCCAUAAGACGAGAAGACCCUGUGGAGCUUUAGACAAAAGACGGACCUUGCAAAACAACCCUGAACAAAGGACAAAACACCAAAGGAUCCCGCCCGAAUGUCUUUGGUUGGGGCGACCGCGGGGAAAAAUAAAACCCCCACGUGGAAUGGGAGAACAUCCCCCAAAACUAAGAGGUACCCCUCUAAGAAGCAGAACAUCUGACCAUAAAUGAUCCGGCAUGGCCGAUCAACGGACCGAGUUACCCCAGGGAUAACAGCGCAAUCCCCUCCCAGAGCCCA
rnacentral:rRNA from 1 species